rnacentral:rRNA from 1 species
UCAUUGACCUCUCACCCUUCACAUCCACAUACACCUGUGCACCGUUUGGCUCUUAUAAAAGAUGAAAGUCUGCAAUGAGAGUCAUCAAUUUUAUACAUACCCCAGUCUUAUGAAUGUAACAGUUUUAAUAAACAUAAUAAAACUUUUAACAACGGAUCUCUUGGUUCUCGCAUCGAUGAAGAACGCAGCGAAAUGCGAUAAGUAAUGUGAAUUGCAGAAUUCAGUGAAUCAUCGAAUCUUUGAACGCACCUUGCGCUCCUUGGUAUUCCGAGGAGCAUGCCUGUUUGAGUGUCAUGAAACUCUCAACCUUCAGCUUUUUUAUUAAGGCUGAAGGCUUGGACUUGAGCGCUGCUGGUUCUCACGAACCGGCUCGCUUGAAAUGAAUUAGCAGAUCCUUUUUGUAAUCGGUUCCACUCGACGUGAUAAGUAUUUCGCCGAGGACAUAUGAAAGUAUGGCCGAGAUAAAGAAAGUUCUAGAUCCGCUUCUAAUUCUUAGAUAAAGCUUGCUUUACUAAACCCCAUUUUAUGAUCUGGCCUCAAAUCAGGUAGGACUACCCGCUGAACUUAAGCAUAUCAAUAAGCGGAGGAAAAGAAACUAACAAGGAUUCCCCUAGUAACGGCGAGUGAAGCGGGAUGAGCUCAAAUUUAAAAUCUGGCGGCCUCAGGUCGUCCGAGUUGUAGUCUAGAGAAUCGUUUUCCGCGUUGGCCUGUGUACAAGUCCCUUGGAACAGGGCGUCAUAGAGGGUGAGAAUCCCGUCCUUGACACAGACUACCAAUGCUUUGUGAUGCGAUCU